CGGGGCGUGGCGCAGACGGAAGCGCACUGCGUUUGGGACGCAGGGGUCGCCGGUUCAAGUCCGGCCGCCCCGA
rnacentral:tRNA from 3 species